UCGUGUUCGCAAAGUGAACUGCAGCAAUAAAAUCUACGUAGUAAAUGAGAGGCCCACCGCCCCACCCUUCCUCUUCUCCAAAAAUAUUCCUCCGCCUCUUCUCCUCCAAAAUCCCCCACAGUACUGUUGUUCUUCUCCCAACUCCAAAUCCCACAAAUUAAGUGCUUUCACGUUCUUCUCGCAGGAAUCUCCGAACUCUCAAAGGCCCAAGUGCAGGAGGAACAGAGCCUGUACCUCGCCCUUGCAUCUGCGCUGCUUUGGCCGCCGCCGCAGGAGGCGACAUGCUUGGGGCGUUGCUGGUCCUAGCCUGAAUGGCGUUCUUGGAAACAGGGUGUAGUACAGGCUGAACACUUCACCCAUCCCCCUCCAAGCGCGUGAAACAGGCAUCAUUUCAGUUGGUAUUUUUCUCUGAUUCGAUUUUCUCUGAAACAAAUUAGUUCAUUGUCCCCAUGUGUUGGAUAUAUCUGCUCUCUUUUGUUGCACCGGUAGCAGUGCAACAGUAGUAGUAUCAAGUACAGUAGUACUAGAUGAAUACCCCACACUUUUAGCAUCAGGGCACUAAAUUGUGCCCCAAGUAAGCAUACUGGGACUGUGUUGUGAGUUUUGCACCUGUUAAUGCUUAUAAUUUUGUGCAGAUCUCCAAUUUAGUACGGAAAAUGACAUCCUUACAAUCUUCAGUAGUGGACAGUCUACUAAGUAUAUUUUAUAUGCAUCUGCAGUUAUUUUACAUGUUGCCUCACUGUUUCACGCUAGCUACUCAUGCUCGUCUCAACUUAAAUUUGUGACAAAUCAUUUUAUCCUCCUUGUCAUUGUGUUCUCUUUUAUACCGGGGGUAAUAACUGUACACUUUUUGGUGCAUUUACUAUUAUGGUGCAUUUAGUUAUUCAUCUAGCAACCGAGGCAAAAAUAGGUGGUCCCGUGGCCUACCGUUCAAUGUGGUUUGUGGAAAGGUAUCUCGGUGUGUUGAAGUCAUAUGUUCGUAAUAAAGCUCAUCCAGCAGGAUCUACUGCAGAAGCAUGUUUGGCAGACGAGUGCAUGACAUUCUGCUCUCUCUAUAUUGAAGGUUUUGAAACCAAGCAUAAUCGGCCUUCAAGGAAUGAUGAGGACGAGGUGGCUGAUGUGGAACAAGGACCAACUCUCUUUCCUCAUGUUUGCAAACCACUUGGAAAGCCCGGUAAUUAUGUUAUAAGGGGUAUAGCUAGACUGCAGGCACAUAGAUAUGUGUUGUUCAAUUAGCUCAUGUUGAUGAGGUCACUAGCCAGCGUAACGUCUCCGCAGAUACCCUUGAGUCAAUGCAACAUGAAAACUUCCACAACUGGUUCAAAGCUCAUAUAAGCGUGUACUUCACAUCCUUUGUCUACUGAUACCAUUUACUAAACUAGUUAAUAUACA